rnacentral:rRNA from 1 species
GACGAACGCUGGCGGCGUGCUUAACACAUGCAAGUCGAACGGAAAGGCCCUGCUUUUGUGGGGUGCUCGAGUGGCGAACGGGUGAGUAACACGUGAGUAACCUGCCCUUGACUUUGGGAUAACUUCAGGAAACUGGGGCUAAUACCGGAUAGGAGCUCCUGCUGCAUGGUGGGGGUUGGAAAGUUUCGGCGGUUGGGGAUGGACUCGCGGCUUAUCAGCUUGUUGGUGGGGUAGUGGCUUACCAAGGCUUUGACGGGUAGCCGGCAUGAGAGGGUGACCGGCGACAAUAGGACUGAGAUACGGCCCAGACUCCUACGGGAGGCAGCAGUGGGGAAUAUUGCACAAUGGGCGGGAGCCUGAUGCAGCGACGCCGCGUGCGGGAUGACGGCCUUCGGGUUGUAAAACGCUUUCGCCUGUGACGAAGCGUGAGUGACGGUAAUGAGUAAAGAAGCACCGGCUAACUACGUG